rnacentral:tRNA from 1 species
AGGGCUGUAGUUUAUGUUAAAAUAACAAGUUGCAAGCUUGAUGAUGGGAAACAGUCCCCUCAGCUCCG